CCCUCAACAGAUCCAAGAGCCAUUAAGUUCAGAGUAAAUAUUCAGUUUACUGGUUAUGAAGAAACAAACGAAGUACAGCUCCACUGCAUGUCCUUUGGAUGAAAGAAUUUUCAUGCAAUUGCAAUGGCUUGUAGGCUUUGUGAGAUCACCAACAGCCUGAGCACCCCUCGAUCGCCUCUAGUAAUGCGAGUAUUGGCUUCAAGGAAAGUUCCUUCGAAAGGUGGAAUCUGCGAAAAUUGAACUUUCUGCAAAAAUCACAUGAUAUUCUCUAGCAUCAUACCCUGAUAAGAAGAUUGUAGAUCAUCAGGUUGCUUCUUGUCCUUUAUUAUUAUUAUUUUUUGUUGAGGAAUAAUGGCGGAAGUAAGGCGCUUAUCCCAGCUUUAUUGAAGAAUAAGGCGCCAGUUUGCUUCUUGUCAUUUUGUCAAAAGGGUUGACAUUUGCUUCUUAUUGUUUGACAUUUUGGGGUUGUCUGGAUCCCUGAGUAUCAUUCUGUUUGUCCCUCAGAGAAAUAAAAUGGUGAUGCGAGUCUUCACUUCAAGUGGAUCAUGUGGCUUGCCGUUCGCUCUACUGCAUGGCAUUCUCAAUUGCCAUGAUAGAAAUUUUCAAACAAGUGGCAAUAUGUUCAGAGUAAAUAUUCAGUUUAUUGAUUAUGAAUAUUAAAAAUUAAGUAAAUAUUACUGAACUAUUUCUAUGUCAGACCUGUAUCCUAUCUCCAUUUAUGCACUAACUUUUCUUACUUAAUUUUCCAUGUAUAAAAAAAGAAUUUUUCUAACUCUGUCUAGAUUUCACAUGCAGAAUACUAGGUCUUGAAGUAAUAUCUGAAGAGACACUUUCUCCGGCCUCCAUUUUAUUGUUGAUAACAAAUAAAUGUUUUAUAUCAGUAUUCUUUGCUAAGAACUUGUACUGAAUCAUUUACUUACAGUUUACGUUGUUUCACUAAUUUUGCUGUUUUUAUAAUUUUUUCUGUUGUAAUGACUGGACUUGUCAUCUAAUAUUACAAGGCACUGAAUGCAAAUCCUUGAUAUGUGGUAUUUUAUGUAAUUAUGUUUUUCAAAUUUCACUCAAUGUGAAUCAUCUAUAGAAAAGUAAUAAGUCCUUGGCCCAACCAACAACUCUCAUGGGAAUGUUUUAGGCUCAACUCCUGUUCUGGUUGAGGCUGCUUCUGUAUCACCCUGGAUACCAAAAAAUAUUUUACUAGUCUGAAAUAUGGAAUUACAUUGUGUUUAAGAUGUAUCUGAAAAAUUGUUCAUUCUCCAGAUCUCCUCUGUCAUUCUGCAUCACCCUGGCUUCCUCAAUAUCUUACCUCCUCGAGUGGAUCAUCCCAAGAGCCAGAGCACCUUGUUUUCUGCUUACCCCCUGAGCUCCCCAGGAUCAGGAAGCCAGUGCGAUCGAAAAAUACUUUCAUGCCCCUGAGCAAAUUCACUUCUAUAACAAGCCUUUGCCAGCAACCAAUGCAGCUGUUUGAACAAGAACUUGAGCUCUGCAACAGGCCUUGGCUUCACUGGAUCAGAUUUUUGGCAGGAUAUUGUUUUUAUAAGCAAGCAGAAAAAAUCUGACUCGGAAGGGAGGCUAGACUAAUUGACUGAGCGAGAUAUCAUUCCUUGCCUCCCUUGACUUUGCUGGUAUGUGAAUUUUAUGUAUGUAUCUGUGAGUUAAGAGUUUUUGCUGGCCAAUUACAUGGAGUGGAGUUUUUGAAUUGGUCAUGUGGAUUGUAUUUUACUAAAGUAUGUGAGUUACUGCAAACAGUCACCUCCUUGGCUCCAUCACCCUCUUACUGCAAACCUCUCACAGCUGUCCCUAUUUGUGAGAUCCCGAAACUGGGCCCGGCCCAUUGACCGGCCCAGCCCAAAUUUUUGCCCUCACGUGCGUCGCACGUGAGGGCGUGUGAGAAGGGGGGGAGCCAUCCCGAAGAAGCCGGCUCCCCCAUUCUUUUUUUAGGGCUUCUCCUCUCUUUGAAGAGAGGGGAAGAGGAGCCGCUGCCGGCCGAGAGAGAGGAAAAGAGGGAGGGUCUUCUUCGCGUUGCCGGAGAGAAAGAGAGGAAGAGGGAGCCGAGAAGCCACAGCGCGGACGAUCCUUUUCCUCCUCCGUUUGCCGCCGGAAAGAAGCCGCCGGAUCUUCGCCGGGGCUGAGGUUCUGCGAGGAAUUUGUGAAAUUAAUUGGAUUUGUUGUGGAUCGCAUUCAAUAUCCGAAGAAUUAGCUCGAUCCGGGGGUUUUACAAUAUGGGAGAGCGAAUACAAAAAUUAUGACACAAGUUAUCUUAGAUUAGAUUUUAUUUAAGUUAAUGUUCUAUCUUUAUUGUUCCGCUGCGUAUUUAGAACUGUGAGACUAUAUAAUUUGUGUCAGUCAAUGGAAUAAGAUUGCAUUUAUUUCAGCUGAAUUAUUUUAUUUAUAUAACUGAGAUGUUUGGUUAAGAUGCCUUGCAUGCUCGUGGGGAGAGUUUCCUACGGGUGUGCGGCGGUUGGCGCGGACCCCCGGCUCGCGAUCUCGGGCCGGGGGCGUGACAACUUUUAUGGUAUCAGAGCCAGGUUGGAUAAAUUAUGAAAUAAGAAAAUCUGACAUGACAUGAGUGUAGGUGGGUAGACACUAGGGACAUUGGGACGUUAGUUUAUGAUGACUGUAACAACCAUUCCAUGUACUUGUAAUGAACUGGUAAGCUUAUUAUUGGCAUGCUGCUAUCUGAUAGACAUAGGUCAGUAUACCUCCACGUCGGACGAGAAAAAAAAAACUACUCGCAGAGCUACUAAUAAGGCACCCAACCCGCAAAAUGACAGCACAUCCCAACAAGUUGGUAACACCCCUCAGCAGGAGAGAGUCGUCAAUCCUGCUAGUGAUACUCAGACAGAACGACAAGAACCGGGCCUAGGCCAGGUUAUGCAAACCAUAGUGGGCCUUAUGCAGAUGCAACAGCAGUUGCCCCAGACAAGACGACUUUGAUUUGAAGAGUGUUAUGACUUAGUUUGGAAGAAGUAUAAUCUACUCUUGAACUACAUGUACGAAAAUUUCGUGGACGAAAUUUCUUUUAAGGGGUGGAGGAUGUGAGAUCCCGAAACUGGGCCCGGCCCAUUGACCGGCCCAGCCCAAAUUUUUGGCCUCACGUGCGUCGCACGUGAGGGCGUGUGAGAAGGGGGGGAGCCAUCCCGAAGAAGCCGGCUCCCCCAUUCUUUUUUUAGGGCUUCUCCUCUCUUUGAAGAGAGGGGAAGAGGAGCCGCUGCCGGCCGAGAGAGAGGAAAAGAGGGAGGGUCUUCUUCGCGUUGCCGGAGAGAAAGAGAGGAAGAGGGAGCCGAGAAGCCACAGCGCGGACGAUCCUUUUCCUCCUCCGUUUGCCGCCGGAAAGAAGCCGCCGGAUCUUCGCCGGGGCUGAGGUUCUGCGAGGAAUUUGUGAAAUUAAUUGGAUUUGUUGUGGAUCGCAUUCAAUAUCCGAAGAAUUAGCUCGAUCCGGGGGUUUUACAAUAUGGGAGAGCGAAUACAAAAAUUAUGACACAAGUUAUCUUAGAUUAGAUUUUAUUUAAGUUAAUGUUCUAUCUUUAUUGUUCCGCUGCGUAUUUAGAACUGUGAAACUAUAUAAUUUGUGUCAGUCAAUGGAAUAAGAUUGCAUUUAUUUCAGCUGAA